rnacentral:rRNA from 1 species
GUGGGGAAUUUUGGACAAUGGGCGAAAGCCUGAUCCAGCCAUGCCGCGUGCAGGAUGAAGGCCUUCGGGUUGUAAACUGCUUUUGUACGGAACGAAAAGACUCCUUCUAAUAAAGGGGGUCCAUGACGGUACCGUAAGAAUAAGCACCGGCUAACUACGUGCCAGCAGCCGCGGUAAUACGUAGGGUGCAAGCGUUAAUCGGAAUUACUGGGCGUAAAGCGUGCGCAGGCGGUUAUAUAAGACAGAUGUGAAAUCCCCGGGCUCAACCUGGGAACUGCAUUUGUGACUGUAUAGCUAGAGUACGGUAGAGGGGGAUGGAAUUCCGCGUGUAGCAGUGAAAUGCGUAGAUAUGCGGAGGAACACCGAUGGCGAAGGCAAUCCCCUGGGCCUGCACUGACGCUCAUGCACGAAAGCGUGGGGAGCAAACAGGAUUAGAUACCCCUGUAGUCC